rnacentral:tRNA from 1 species
GGACGGUUAGCUCAGCUGGGUUAGAGCGGCGGUUUUACACACCGCAGGUCGAAGGUUCGAUCCCUUCACCGUCCA